UACGUAGGGGGCAAGCGUUAUCCGGAUUUACUGGGUGUAAAGGGAGCGUAGGCGGCUUAGUAAGUCAGAAGUGAAAGCCCGCAGCUCAACUGCGGGACUGCAUUGGGAACUGCCCCGCUCGAGUGCCGGAGGGGCAGGCGGAAUUCCUGGUGUAGCGGUGAAAUGCGUAGAUAUCAGGAGGAACACCGGCGGCGAAGGCGGCCUGCUGGACCGCGACUGACGUUGAGGCUCGAAAGCGUGGGGAGCGAACAGG
rnacentral:rRNA from 1 species